rnacentral:rRNA from 1 species
AACGAACGCUGGCGGCAUGCCUAACACAUGCAAGUCGAACGAGAUCUUCGGGUCUAGUGGCGCACGGGUGCGUAACGCGUGGGAAUCUGCCCUUUGGUUCGGAAUAACAGUUGGAAACGACUGCUAAUACCGGAUGAUGACGAAAGUCCAAAGAUUUAUCGCCAGAGGAUGAGCCCGCGAUAGGAUUAGCUAGUUGGUGUGGUAAAGGCGCACCAAGGCGACGAUACUUAGCUGGUCUGAGAGGAUGAUCCGCCAAACUGGGACUGAGACACGGCCCAGACUCCUACGGGAGGCAGCAGUGGGGAAUAGUGGACAAUGGGCGAAAGCCUGAUUCAGCAAUGCCGCGUGAGUGAUGAAGGCCUUAGUGUUGUAAAGCUCUUUCGUCGAGUGCGCGAUCAUGACAGGACUCGAGGAAGAAGCCCCGGCGAACUCCGUGCCAGCAGCCGCCGCCG